rnacentral:rRNA from 1 species
CCUACGGGUGGCAGCAGUGAGGAAUAUUGGGCAAUGGACGAGAGUCUGAACCAGCAAAGCAGCGUGAAGGAUGACGGCCCUAUGGGUUGUAAACUUCUUUUAUAUGGGAAUAAAAUGUUCCACGUGUGGGAUUUUGUAUGUACCAUAUGAAUAAGGAUCGGCUAACUCCGUGCCAGCAGCCGCGGUAAUACGGAGGAUCCGAGCGUUAUCCGGAUUUAUUGGGGGUAAAGGGAGCGUAGGUGGAUUGUUAAGUCAGUUGUGAAAGUUUGCGGCUCAACCGUAAAAUUGCAUUUGAAACUGGCAGUCUUGAGUACAGUAGAGGUGGGCGGAAUUCGUGGUGUAGCGGUGAAAUGCUUAGAUAUCACGAAGAACUCCGAUUGCGAAGGCAGUUCACUGGACUGCAACUGACACUGAGGCUCGAAAGUGUGGGUAUCAAACAGGAUUAGAUACCCUUGUAGUC